rnacentral:rRNA from 1 species
AUUGAACGCUGGCGGCAUGCCUUACACAUGCAAGUCGAACGGCAGCACGGGAGCUUGCUCCUGGUGGCGAGUGGCGAACGGGUGAGUAAUAUAUCGGAACGUGCCCAGUAGUGGGGGAUAGCCCGGCGAAAGCCGGAUUAAUACCGCAUACGAUCUACGGAUGAAAGCGGGGGAUCGCAAGACCUCGCGCUAUUGGAGCGGCCGAUAUCUGAUUAGCUAGUUGGUGAGGUAAAGGCCCACCAAGGCGACGAUCAGUAGCUGGUCUGAGAGGACGACCAGCCACACUGGAACUGAGACACGGUCCAGACUCCUACGGGAGGCAGCAGUGGGGAAUUUUGGACAAUGGGGGAAACCCUGAUCCAGCAAUGCCGCGUGAGUGAAGAAGGCCUUCGGGUUGUAAAGCUCUUUUGUCAGGGAAGAAACGGUUCUGGCUAAUAUCCAGAGCUAAUGACGGUACCUGAAGAAUAAGCACCGGCUAACUACGUGCCAGCAGCCGCCGCGG